GUCUAGAAUGCAGUCGACGAUUAAGCUCUCUUCGGAGAGUGUAUAGAGUGGCGCACGGGUGAGUAACACGUAAGUAAUCUACCCUCGAGUGGGGAAUAACGUCCGGAAACGGACGCUAAUACCGCAUAAUGCAGCGGCACCGCAAGGUGACAGUUGUUAAAGAUUUAUCGCUUGAGGAGGAGCUUGCGGCAGAUUAGCUAGUUGGUAAGGUAAUGGCUUACCAAGGCUACGAUCUGUAACCGGUCUAAGUGGACGGUCGGUCACACUGACACUGAAUAACGGGUCAGACUCCUACGGGAGGCAGCAGUCGGGAAUUUUGGGCAAUGGGCGAAAGCCUGACCCAGCAACGCCGCGUGAAGGAUGAAGUAUUUCGGUAUGUAAACUUCGAAAGAAUGGGAAGAAUCAAUGACGGUACCAUUUAUGAGGUCCGGCUAACUACGUGCCAGCAGCCGCGGUAAUACGUAGGGACCAAGCGUUGUUCGGAUUUACUGGGCGUAAAGGGCGCGUAGGCGGCUUGUCAAGUCACUUGUGAAAUCUCCGGGCUUAACUCGGAACGGUCAAGUGAAACUGACAUGCUAGAGUGUGGAAAGGGGCAAUCGGAAUUCUUGGUGUAGCGGUGAAAUGCGUAGAUAUCAAGAGGAACACCUGACGUGAAGACGGGUUGCUGGGCCAACACUGACGCUGAGCGCGAAAGCCAGGGGAGCAAACGGGAUUAGAUACCCCGGUAGUCCUGGCCCUAAACGAUGAAUACUUGGUGUCUGGAGUCAUUAAUGCUCCGGGUGCCGUCGCUAACGUUUUUAGUAUCCGCCUGGGGGAGUACGCUCGCAGAGUGA
rnacentral:rRNA from 1 species